AGGAUGAACGCUAGCGGCAGGCCUAAUACAUGCAAGUCGAACGGUGGUAGCAAUAUCAUAGUGGCGCACGGGUGCGUAACACGUAACUAACCUACCUAUACCUGGGGGAUAGCCCGCCGAAAGGCGGAUUAAUACCGCAUAAGGCUUGGAACCGGCAUCGGUUUUUAGUUAAAGAUUUAUUGGGUAUAGAUGGGGUUGCGGGUCAUUAGCUAGUUGGUAGGGUAACGGCUUACCAAGGCGACGAUGACUAGGGGAGCUGAGAGGCUGGUCCCCCACACGGGCACUGAGAUACGGGCCCGACUCCUACGGGAGGCAGCAGUAGGGAAUAUUGGGCAAUGGGCGAGAGCCUGACCCAGCCAUGCCGCGUGCAGGAAGAAGGCUUUCUGAGUCGUAAACUGCUUUUGACAGGGAAGAAUAAGCUUCACGAGUGGAGUGAUGACGGUACCUGCAGAAUAGCACCGGCUAACUCCGUGCCAGCAGCCGCGGU
rnacentral:rRNA from 1 species